GAAAAAGAAGAAAUGAUCUCUGCAAGAGAUUCAAUAAAAAGAACAGUCUAUCGUAAUAACAAAUGAACUCGCAAAGAAGUGUCCUGUUCAACGCUAGAUCAAGCCAAACUCAGCAAAAGAAAAAGCUUUUAAAUAUAAGCUAAAAAAUAUGGAACAUCUUUCUGAAAUAAAAAGGAAUUUGAAUUGGAACAUAUCUAAAAUACAAUUACAAGAUAUAAAUCUGUACUCAAUACACAAAACAGAUAAUCGGAAACCUCAAAUAAUUAAAUCGGAGAUAUUAAAGUCUAUAAAAGUA